CUAAGCUCGAGGAUACCCUGCAAAUCUGUCUCUUCUUGGAGUCUAGCAUGCGUCAUAUCAAGGAAGGCGCAUGCUUAGUCUCUGACUUUCGCGAGGAGCCUCCAGCUUGCGGGCAAGACCACGCCAUAGAAGCGUGGCAGGUAAAAGAUUGGCGAGCCAUGAUGCUAGAGUGGCAAAGAAUGAUGUGCUCGGGCUGGAUUCCGUGAUGCUCGGUUUAUCUACUCGCAAUGGUACAAUUGCAAAACAUGGUCAAUCUAUGAGUUUUAUGUUCGUAAUGCCCCAAACUCACUCGUCUCUUGUUGUGCACGGCAGCCGCCCAACCUCGUUCCAACUCCGAUGAAGUCGAGCUCUCUUGUCCAGUUCUCACUGUUUUGUCCACGGGCGAUGCAUCCUCUGGGUGUACUGUGGUACAUAGACGGCGAAGGAACUGGCAGUUUACCUUGUUAGAGCCUUUACAAAGCUGGGCAAUUGGACUCGUUCCAGCUCGUGAUUUGAUUCGUAAACAAGCAGCUAAACGGUCUGAACCAGUAAUCCAACUCGUACUUUAUGCUCACCAGAACCAGCUUAUUAAUGAUCCUGUCUCAGAGGUGAUG
rnacentral:lncRNA from 1 species